rnacentral:lncRNA from 1 species
CCUUCAUGACUAAGUGGCUUAACCCCAAUUAUGCCGUGGACACCCACGAAUGGGGUGACUUUGACAUAAUCAAAGAUUAAGUACUUAGCCACAAGACAACGACGAUGCCUCAGGUCAAAGGACUACUUACAUUAUUCCAACCAUUAUAGUUACUUGCUUGACAUGUGAGUAGACCUCCAUGCAAGUACUCUCGUUCGAUUGUUUUCAGUGAACUCAUUCCCUUAAUGAGCACCUACAUACUUGUCUUAGUGUCACCACACGAAUGGGAUGAGACUUUCCAUCCUUCCAUUUGAAGCAGACACAGUAUGUACCGGUCUAAGCAUUGUCAGUAUCCCCUCCGACAAUCCAAUGACCAGGAACCUUUUUGGACAUUAUGGUUAUGUGAAGAAGGUCUCUGUAGUCUAACAUCAUUAGAUUACUUCUUCAAUCAAUCCAUUGUCCAUGGAUUCACUAUUUAGGACAUAUAUCGUUUAUUGAGAUAGUCCUAAUUAGUAUCUUUGCCAUUUGAUGUAUAAGAAUCAUCUAUACAUCCAUUCAUUUGUCCUGAAAGGUUUCUUCCAAAGAUUGACUUUCAGGGCAUAUUUCCAACAAUCGUUCGGCUGAAAGACGUUAAAGCAAGCGCUUCUCGGGGGGGCAACCCAUGUAUUCAAAUAAGGAAGAUCUUUGAAUCGCUCCACAAUCAGUUUUGCGUUUCUAAAAACCUUCCAUUUUCUGCAAUUUUAUUUUGCCAUGAUUGUCAUUUUUAUUUGUUGCUUGUUUAAUUGUUUUUGGUGUGGGUUUAUUUUUGAAGCAUUGACAG